rnacentral:pre_miRNA from 11 species
AGCAGCACACAUAGAACCGGUUCUAUGUCUGCUGCUNACAUAGAAUCGGUUCUAUGUCUGCUGCUG